UAUUUGGUUAGGAAACUCUUCUAUUAAAAUCAGAACAAUACAGAGAAAAUUCCCAUGAACCCUGCAAAAAGGAUGACGUGCAUAUUCUUGAAACACUCUAUAUGUUU
ensembl:snRNA U6 U6 spliceosomal RNA